UUUCCGUAGGUGAACCUGCGGAAGGAUCAUUCAUAAUGAGUGUUUAUGGCACUUUUAAAAAUCUAUACUCACCUUGUGUGCAUCGAUAGUCAUGUUCCUUGUUCUCUCUUGAGCGCACUAGGAGGCAGGCUACAAAUUAAUCUAUCUUUAACAAGUUUGUCUGAAGCCAUGUAUCAUGAGCUAACAUAAUUAUAGAAUACAACUUUCAACAACGGAACUCUUGGCUCUCCCAUCGAGGAAGAACGCAGCAGGACGGACGAUCACAAGCCUGAACUCCAG
rnacentral:misc_RNA from 1 species